GAUCUUGCAAAGAGUCAUCACAGCUGUGAAGGAAAUAGUCCAUCAACAGGAAAAGAGAUCAGCAGGUUUGGGUCUGAAUCUCAUCCAUUUCCCUUAGAGGAUCUGAAUCUUCGCUGAAAAUGAAUUUGUAAAAUCUGAAUAAGGACUUCAGGAGCUGGCCUACAGCACUACACUCUGUUCAGCACUUUGGGGCCCAGUCCAACGCGACACUUAAGCACAUGCCUAACCAACUCUACUGAAAACUACUCACCAAUUUGGAGUCUGAAGUACAACUACCUACCACUGGAU